UGUUUGCGCUACAUAACUGACGAGGUCUUCUAUUUGCGUCCAUGCAACUCGCUACGUUAAGUAUUUUCAACGAUCUUUGACUCCUGUGCUAAGCUCCAGUGCUGUCGGUCUUUUAGUAUUUUUGCAUGAUUUCAUGGACAAUAAAUCACUGAACAAUGCAACCCGGUCGUUACACCAACGUCUUUAUAGCUUGCCUCGCGGGUUUCCAUGGUUACCUCCAUCCAUGCGUCUCACCUGUUCUCAAUUGUCUCCUGGGAUUGACAGGUUCUCCCUCGCCUCUGCUGUCCUUUCUGCACCUCCUUCAUGUCCUCGAACACCUCGCUAUCCAUGCCCCUUGGUUCGGUCCAAG